AUUUUUGGAGAGAGAUUGGGAAAGACUUAUUUUAAUCCUUCUUAUUUUUUUAAAAAAGAUUCUGUUUAUUCACUCAUGAGAGACACAAAGCUAGAGAGGCAGAGACAUAGGCAGAGGGAGAAGAAGGCUUCAUGUAGGGAUCCCAAUAUGGGACUCGAUCCUGGGACUCCGGGAUCACACCCUGAGCCAAAGGCAGGUGCUUAACCGCUGAGCAACCCAGGUGUCCCUGAUUUUAAUUCUUCUCUAAGUGUUUGAAGAAUUCCUCAUAUUUCCGUUUUUUAUUGGAUAAUUUGAUCCAUCUAUAUUAAGAAGGACUCACUUCUGCCAUUUUGUUAUUUUUCUUUUUUUCUUUUUUGACAGGCAGAUAAAGGUUUGUUUUAUUGAAUAACUGAUCUGAUUCAUGCUGAGGCCACUGUGUACAGACAAGAGAGAGGGAGUUUUGUUCCUUGGUCUCUUCCUCCUUGGAAAGAGUCUUGAUGAUUUCCUCCUUCUUGGCCUGGAGCCGCUCUUCACGGCGCUUGCGGGCCUCCUUGGUCUUAGAUCUGCAGGCCUCAGCCUGGUCAGCCACAAGCUUCUUGUGAGCCUUGUCUGCCUUCAGCUUGUGGAUGUGUUCCAUGAGAAUCCGCUUGUUCUUGAACACGUUACCCUUCACUUUCAGGCUUUCUCUAAGAAUACUUAAAGACAAGCUGAGAUUGUUUAUUUUUUCAUAUCUCAUAUUUUCAGAGUCUAGAAUGGCAUUGGUGUCCUCUUUGCUCCAGAUGAUGACUCUUCUACGUUGUUGUAAAACAAAACAAAACAAAACAAAACAAAAAUAAACUUCCAUUUAAAUCCUAUGUCAUUUAGAUAUCCAACAUUCCUCUUCCUUUGCUUUUCUAAUCUAUAGAUCUGCUAGCCAUCACUGAGAACUUGACAACUAGCUCACAGUGUUCCUUUGCACCUGAGUUCUGCUAUCAUCGUGGAUGACUUCAGCGUCGAUGUAUGUGGUUAAUUCCCUCAACUCCCCAGGUUCCAAAUCCCUUAACAUCCUUAUUUCCAAAGACCCUCUCAUUUGAUCUUAGCCACCCACUUCCAUUGUCACACCAUAGACCAUUUUCUGUUAUUGUUCCCCUCCAGAUAGAGUAUUUCAAGUAUCUUGCUCUCUGACUACAAACUCCUCUUCUUCUGGAUUGCUUUCUCUACUUUCCAGCACAAUUAUUCUUCAACAUCUAGGGGCUCACCAUAUAUUGACAUUUUUGUCUCUUCCAAUCUUCUAUUCCUUGCCUCUUUUUUCCUGACCCCUUAUCUUAUUUGGGUGAAGUGGCUCAUUAAUUCAGUUGCACCCUUGCUAAUGCCUUGCCUAAAAACUCCCUUGCCUCUCGCUGUGUAACCUUAAAUCUGCAUAAACUGAACAAUCUGCUUUCUCUGUGCUUGAGUCUCAGCACCUAAAUAAUGCUGGAGAAAUUUGCACUUAAGGAAGGUUUAUCUCAUUCUAAAUGCAUAAUUAUCAAUUUCAAAGAGUUCUCCAACACUGCAUAGCAAUUCUACCACAGGCAUCUGGUCAACUUACCACUCUCCUCCAUUAAUCCAAAAUAACUAUUUGAAACCUUAUUUACUAACCUCAAAACUCUAACUUUCUCCCAUAAUUCUCUCUCACUGUCAGCAUAGAAUUUCCCAGCUCACACAUAUACACAAAAUAAAAACCAAUAGAAGGAAAUUUCCCUAUGCCAUGUAUAUUAAAUCUACAAAACUAAAUCUACCAGCGUCAAUCUAUACCUGUGUCAUUAUUCUCUUAAGGGUCUUUUCAUUUUUUUAAAUUUCUUUUUAUUGGAUUUCAAUUUGACAACAUAUAGAAUAACACCAGUGCUCAUCCCAUCAAGUGCCCCCUUCAUUGCCCAUCACCGAGUCACCCCAACCACCUGCCUACCGCCCUUUCCACCACCCCUUGUUCGUUUCCCAGAGUUAGGAGUCUCUCAUAUUCUGUCACCCUCUACUAUAUUUCCCACUCAUUUUCUUUCCUUUCCCCUUAUUUCCCUUUCACUGUUAUUUAUAUUCCCCAAAUUAAUGAGACCAUAUAAUGUUUGUCCUUCUCCGAUUGACUUAUUUCACUCAGCAUAAUACCCUCCAGUUCCAUCCACAUAGAAGCAAAUGGUGGGUAUUUGUCGUUUCUAAUGGCUGAGUAAUAUUCCAUUGUAUACACAGACCCACAUCUUUAUCCAUUCAUCUUUUGAUGAACACCGAGGCUCCUUCCACAGUUUGGCUAUUGUGGACAUUGCUGCUAUAAACAUCAGGGUGCAGGUGUCCGGUGUUUCACUGCAUCUGUAUCUUUGGGGUAAAUACCCAGCAGUGCAAUUGCUGGGUCAUAGGGCAUAUCUAUUUUGAACUAUUUGAGGAACCUCCACACAGUUUUCCAGAGUGGCUGUACCAGUCCACAUUCCCACCAACAUGCAAGAGAGUUUCCCUUUCUCCACAUCCUCUCCAACAUUUGUGGUUUCCUGCUUUGUUAAUUUUCCCCAUUCUCACUGGUGUGAGGUGGUAUCUCAUUGUGGUUUUGAUUUGUAUUUCCCUGAUGGCCAGUGAUGGGGAGCAUUUUCUCAUGUGCAUGUUGGCCAUGUCUAUGUCUUCCUCUGUGAAAUUUCAGUUCAUGUAUUUGCCCAUUUCAUAAUUGGAUUGUUUGUUUCUUUGAUGUGGAAUUUAAUAAGUUCUUUCUAGAUCUUGGAAACUAGCCCUUUAUCUGAUAUGUCAUUUGCAAAUAUCUUCUCCCAUUCUGUAGGUUGUCUUUUAGUUUUGUUUACUGUAUCCUUUGCUGUGCAGAAGCUUCUUAUCUUGAUGAAGUCCCAAUAAUUCAUUUUUGCUUUUGUUUCUCUUGCCUUCAUGGAUGUAUCUUGCAAGAAGUUGCUGUGGCCAAGUUCAAAAAGGGUGUUGCCUGUGUUCUUCUCUAGAAUUUUGAAGGAUUCUUGUCUCACAUUUAGAUCUUUCAUCCAUUUUGAGUUUAUCUUUGUGUCUGGUGUAAGAGAAUGGUCCAGUUUCAUUCUUCUGAAUGUGGAUGUCCAAUUUUCCCAGCACCAUUUAUUGAAGAGACUGUCCUUUUUCCAGUGGAUAGUCUUUCCUGCUUUGUCGAAUAUUAGUUGACCAUAAAGUUGAGGGUCUACUUCUGGAUUCUCUAUUCUGUUCCAUUGAUCUAUGUGUCUGUUGUUGUGCCAGUACCACACUGUCUUGAUGACCAAGG
rnacentral:lncRNA from 1 species